CCUUCUGCCUUCUUCCCUUCCUAAUUUCUUUUGGUUAAGGUCGUCGGCGUGCUGUACGUUUUUAUUAAUUGUAUUAAAAAUGGGCAGGAUCCAUCUGACAUUUAGCACAUUCGAUGCUCAACUUAUUACGCAAAUAUCGUUUAUAAGAACUUAUGUCAUAGGCCGCAUAACAAAAUGAAAACCCUGAGAAAGAUUGAAUUUAAUAUGGAGCACCACGUGGUUCAAUGUGAGACACCUAAGGGCACUUUGAAAUUUUCAAUUUUUUAAGGUGAAUAAACUUUUCAAAUGCAAUGACUGAAGCUUUAUAACCUAGUAGAUUGUUCGAUCCAUUAAAAGGAAAUGCAAAAGGAGACUUGCUCACACAUUCAUAUGUUUGAAUCUAUCAAAAGGCAAUGCCAAAGGAAAAGAUCUUUAAAAGAUUUUAAAGUCAAUAUAGCAUGGACCAAUUAAAAGGCAAUGCCAAAGCAUAAUACCUUCAAGCCAUUCACAUGUGCUUAAAGUUUGGAUCUAUCAAAAGGCAAAGGCAUCAAAAAUUCCACAGUUAUUACUGCGUACUGUUUGCACCAAUCAAAAGGUGCUGCAACGGAAUCAUGUCAGAAAAGUCAAUUUAAUAUACAAAAUAAACUUUUUAUUAAAGCAUACAAUAAAAUAUUUUAACUGUCUAAAUCGAA